rfam:Poecilia formosa, whole genome shotgun sequence.
GUCUAGUUAGCUCAGCUGGUCAGAGCGUUGUGCUAGUAAUACUGAGGUCAUGGGUUCAAUUCCUUAUGCUGGCCA